GAUUCUAUUGUGUAGUGGUUAUCACAUCUGCUUUACAUGCAGAAGGUCCUGGGUUCAGUCCCCAGUAGAACCA